rnacentral:rRNA from 1 species
AGACAGCAGCAGCCGCGGGAAUACGAAGGGUGCAAGCGUUAAUCGGAAUUACUGGGCGUAAAGCGUGCGUAGGCGGUGAGUUAAGUCUGCUGUGAAAUCCCCGGGCUCAACCUGGGAAUGGCAGUGGAUACUGGCUCGCUAGAGUGUGUCAGAGGAUGGUGGAAUUCCCGGUGUAGCGGUGAAAUGCGUAGAGAUCGGGAGGAACAUCAGUGGCGAAGGCGGCCAUCUGGGACAACACUGACGCUGAGGCACGAAAGCGUGGGGAGCAAACAGGAUUAGAUACCCGUGUAGUCCCUGUCUCUUAUAC